ensembl:lncRNA
UGUAACCCCCACUGUAACCCCUCACUCUAAACCCUCACUGUAACCCCUCACUGUAACCCCUCACUCUAAACCCUCACUGUAACCCCUCACUGUAACCCCUCACUCUAACCCUCACUGUAACCCCUCACUCUAAACCCCUCACUCUAAACCCUCACUGUAACCCCUCACUGUAACCCCUCACUGUAACCCUCACUGUAACCCCUCACUGUAACCCCUCACUGUACAUCAUUCCAAUCCCCAUCUCUGAUAACGAUGGCUCAAAUGAUCAGAUUUGAUAACCCAGUUCAAAGUGCACUGAAAUUAUUUUUUUAUUCCAACCAGCUCCAGUAGGAUGUAGUUUAAUUCCAACCAGCUCCAGUAGGAUGUAGUUUUAUUCCAACCAGCUCCAGUAGGUUGUAGUUUUAUUCCAACCAGCUCCAGUAGGUUGUAGUUUUAUUCCAACCAGCUCCUGUAGGUUGUAGUUUUAUUCCAACCAGUUCCAGUAGGUUGUAGUUUAAUUCCAACCAGCUCCAGUAGGUUGUAGUUUUAUUCCAACCAGCUCCAGUAGGAUGUAGUUUAAUUCCAACCAGUUCCAGUAGGUUGUAGUUUAAUUCCAACCAACUCCAGUAGGUUGUAGUUUAAUUCCAACCAGUUCCAGUAGGUUGUAGUUUAAUUCCAACCAUCUCCAGUAGGUUGUAGUUUUAUUUUACCUGCAAUAUUUUCCUAUCUGUUAUUGUAUAACAUUUACAGUCAUUCUAAUUGAUAUUUUAAGCAGAUCAAAUGAUGUUGGUAAUAAUGAGCCACUAUCCUUGUGGAAGUCAUAGACUUCAAAUGAAAUUGAAUACAGGCCCGCUCCUAAAAACACCAGGUUUGAAUCAUGUAUUGUAAAUGGUGCAUAUCAAAUGUUUACAAUAGUGUAUUCCUCUUCAUUGUUUUAUUUCAUACAUGCUGGCUUUAAGACACUGUUCCCUCACUAUAUGGUCAGAUGAACCAGACACAACACAUGCCACUGUCCCAAGUAUGUACUACAGCCACCAUUACUACCCUCAAUGAGGUGACUUGUAUACAUGCAAUGGUUUUUGUUCUGGACUUUGGUGUCUUUCGCCUAGACCGCGGAUCUGUUGAAUCUGCGCUACAAUCUUGUCCUGCGGUCAUAUUCCUCCAAACGUAAACACAAUAGACACUAUGUACCUGUGUAUGAUUCAACAUGUCCCGAUAUUUGUAUUUUAUUUUCAAAUUAAAAUCAUUAUAUUAUUAUCUGUUUCUUCUAAGAGUCAGUUGGAUUGGAAGGGAAUAUCAGUGAUGGAGGUAACCAAUAUGUGUAUUGUGUAAAAAUAGUGUAUGACCAUCAAUGUACUUGUCAUUCUACAUGUAACGUUACAACAACCUGCCUGCAUACACUAAGGAGACAUAUCUGUAUAUAUUAAUCAAUACUAUUUUUACUGCAUUUUUGUACAAAUAUUCAUGGUAGCCAUGUACAAGUAGU